GCUCCUAUAGCUCAGCUGGCAGAGCGCAAGACUGAAGUCGUUGGGUUCUUCUUGAGGUCACCUGUUCGAACCAGGUUGGGAGCA
rnacentral:tRNA from 1 species